AUGCGCCCAUUCCAAACAGAGGCGAGGCAUCCCCUCACACCGGUACCCCGCCCCUCCCCGCGCCGGCGCGCCCCGGUGGUCGCCGGAUCCGGGCGCCACCAUCUUCCAGAGGGCGGUGUACGUGUUCGUGCAGCCCGUGCAUCGGGGCCGUGCAGUUCGCGAGUGACUCUGCUCCUCCCCGGUACUUCCUCCUGUCUAUGGCUUGCGUGGUUGCAGUCCACUGCCUACAUCGCUGCAGUGCGCACCGUGGGCCUCCGCGGCACAUCGCCAACCCUGGGUGAAGGCCAUCGGCUCACGGUUGCAGUCCACUCCCCGCGUCAACGGCGAAGGUGGUGA
rnacentral:rRNA from 1 species